CAGAAAAUAGUUUAAAAAAUAUUAACUUUGGGAGUUAAAGAUAAAGAGUCUUCUUUUUUUCUGA
rnacentral:tRNA from 2 species